GGGCGGCCGCGGGCCGGGGGCUGCGCGGCGCGGCCGCCGUGAAUGUGCAGGCGGCGGAGCGCGGUUAGGCGUUCGCGGCGCUCGCAGCGGUGUAUUGUGGGAUCCCGGCCGCCGCCAGCAGCGAGCACACACAAUAUGUGGUGGCUCGCGAAAACGGGAGGCAGGAGCCUGGCGGGCAGCCCGCGCCGGUAACCGGCCCCAUGUGAGACGGGAGCUCGCCUUUCGCCGCCCGGAGACGAUCGGCCGCCCAGCGCGAUGUCUUUCCGAGAGACCAAGGCGGGGGAAAAAGCCAAGCACCCUGAAGAUCAUGGCAAAAAGCAGAGUUCAAGUUGGAUCAACGGAAUGGAGAACAGCACGCAAGCCAGCACUUCUGUCGAGAAAAGAAAUCACCAUUGGAGAAGUUACAAGUUGAUUAUUGACCCGGCUCUGAAAAAAGGACAGCACAAACUCUACCGUUACGAUGGGCAACAUUUCAGCAUGCCUAACUCGGGGAUCGCUCCUGUGGAUUGUGUCAGAGAUCCCAGAAUAGGGCGAAUAUGGACCAAAACUAAGGAGCUGGAGCUGUCUGUCCCCAAAUUCAAGAUUGAUGAAUUUUACGUGGGGCCAGUGCCUCCCAAGCAGGUCACUUUUGCCAAGCUGAACGACAACAUCCGCGAAAACUUUUUGGCCGAUAUGUGCAAGAAAUACGGCGAAGUGGAAGAGGUGGAGAUUCUCUACAACCCCAAGAACAAGAAGCACCUGGGCAUUGCCAAAGUCAUCUUUGCCACUGUCAAGGGUGCCCGGGAGGCUGUGCAGCACCUUCACAACACCUCCGUCAUGGGCAACAUCAUCCACGUGGAGCUGGAUACAAAAGGUGAAACCCGCAUGAGAUUCUAUGAACUGCUGGUUAAUGGUCUUUACACUCCUCAGACCCUCCCUGUAGGCACCGAACAGGACGUGUCCCCAACUGGGAACGAAGCUCUCCAGUUGACAGACUCCCUGAAGCGCCUGAAGGACAGUUCCCUUUCUUCCGUGGGCUCCUCCGUUACCCCCAACAGCAGCACGCCCUUUUCCCAUGACACAGCCUAUUCCAGCUGUCGGCAGGACACCCCGAACUCCUACAGCCAAUUCACCCCGCAGUCCCAAGGAACACCCCACACCCCACGCCUGGGGACGCCGUUCUCCCAGGAUUCCACCUACUCCAGCCGACAGACGACCCCUGUGUACCAUUUUGGGCAGGACAGCGGGUACAAAUCCAGGAGGCACGAGACGAAAUUCACGGAUGCGUACAACCGUCGCCCGGGACACCACUACAUGCACAACUCGGCCGGGGUGUUCCGAGGCACAGAGCAUCAGUUCAGUACCUUCAAAUCCCAUCAGCAGGAGCCAGUUCAGUUCUCUCACACUCCUCCCCUGAGCCACUCUAGUUCUUCGAGCUAUAAAUCUGCCUUCUCCCCCUACCAAGCACCAACUGUUUUCCCCCAGUCGGACGAGCAGCCGUUUCCCCAAACUUCCAGGGAGACGGAGUACCGGAGACCUGCUCCGCCUCCCGCCGAGAUGGUUGUGGAGAGCAGCGCUGCCCCGAGCAUCGACUUUGUCCCAGUGAAGGAGAAGCCGGAGGAGCCUCCGCCCUUGCCUGACUCAAACUCUGUUCCUGAACCGAGCACAGCGUCCUUCUCUCAGACUCCAGAGAGGAGCGAGACCCCUGGCACCCCCACUAUGGAGGCUGAGAUGCAGCAUAACAGUUUAGACUCAAGGAUUGAGAUGCUCUUAAAAGAGCAGAGAACAAAAUUACCCUUUCUUAACGAGCAUGACUCAGAUAAUGAGAUCCGAAUGGAAGGUAGCCCCAUUUCCUCCUCUUCUUCCCAGCUCUCCCCCAUCCCAACAUACGGUUCGAACUCUCAGCCUGGUUUCAGGGGUCAGACGCCUUCCUCGCGCCCUUCCAGCACAGGCUUGGAGGACAUCAGCCCCACACCCUUACCUGACUCUGAUGACGACGAGCCCAUCCCUGGGACAGCUCCUCUGAGUCAGAAUUCCCGGGGGACAUCAGAGGCCAGCAUGACUCCCAUUGAUCAGCUGAGCAGGACAUCCAAAAUUGAGACCCUGGAGGCUAAAGAAAUGGUACCUGGUGACCAGUCUCCAAUGUCAGAAAAAAUGGAUGAGGGUCAGCAUUCCUCAGGGGAGGACAUGGAAAUCUCUGACGACGAGACCAACCCAGCGCCCAUCACCAGCGCGGAAUGUCCCAAAACCAUCGUGGUGAACUCCUCCGUCAGCAACACGGCCGUGAUGGCCCCGUCCAUCCCCCCGCUGCCACCACCGGGCUUCCCUCCUCUCCCUCCUCCUCCUCCUCCUCCUCAGCCUGGCUUCCCCAUGCCCCCUCCGCUGCCCCCGCCGCCGCCGCCCACCCACCCGGCCGUCACCGUGCCGCCGCCGCCGCUGCCCGCCCCGCCCGGGGUACCCCCACCCCACAUCCUGCCCCCGCUGCCCCCGUUCCACCCCGGCAUGUUCCCGGUCAUGCAGGUGGAUAUGAUCAGCGUCCUGGGCAACCAGUGGGGCGGCAUGCCCAUGUCCUUCCAGAUGCAGACGCAGAUGCUGAGCCGCAUGAUGCAGGCGCAGAACACGUACCAGUAUCCACCUUUCAUGACGGGCCGGAUGCAGUUUGUGAAUCUUCCUCCCUACCGCCCCUUCUCCAUGGGAGCCGCGCUCGCCCGCGGGCAGCAGUGGCCGCCCCUGCCCAAGUUUGACCCCUCGGUUCCACCCCCGGGCUAUGAGCCCAAGAAGGAAGAUCCCCACAAAGCCACGGUGGACGGAGUCCUCCUGGUCAUAGUGAAGGAGCUGAAGGCCAUCAUGAAAAGGGACCUGAACCGCAAGAUGGUCGAGGUGGUGGCGUUCCGGGCGUUCGAUGACUGGUGGGACAAGAAGGAGCGUCUGGCAAAAGCGUCUCUCACUCCCGUGAAGUCUGGAGGAGAAGUGGAGGAAAAACCAAAGCCGAAGGAUCGAAUUGCCUCUUGUCUUCUGGAGAACUGGAACAAAGGAGAAGGGCUGGGAUACGAGGCAAUCGGUUUGGGCAUUGGGUUACGAGGGGCCAUCCGCCUGCCAUCCUUCAAGGUGAAAAGAAAGGAGCCACCUGAAGCUGCCUCGGCGGGAGAUCAGAAGAGAAUCCGGCCUUCCACUUCUGUGGAUGAUGAAGAUGAAGAGUCGGAGAGGGACAGGGAUGCUUCUGAUACAACAUCUGAGCUGUCAAAGAAGGAUGCAGAGGCAGUGGGGCUGCGCCGGCGACCAGCAAGGCCACUGGAGCUCGACAGCGAGGGAGAGGAGGGAGAUGAGACAUCAGGGAAAGAGGAAGAGUCCUCCUCAGAGAAGGAAGAGGAGCAGGAAGAGGAGGGAGGCUUGGUGAAAGCAGCACCUGCCAAGGAGGAAGAGGAGGAUGAGGAGGAUGAAGAUGAUGAGGAGGAAGAUGACGACGAAGAUGAGGAUGAAGAUGAUGAGGAGGAGACAGGCAUAGACACAAGUGACAAAGAGGAGGAGCAGGACUCCGAGGAGGAUGUAGCAAGUCCCUCGUCUUCCAAGGCUGAAGUUGAAUCAUCUGAUGAAAGUGAGGACUCCUCUGAAUUCGAGUCAAGUUCAGACUCAGAUGAUGAAGAUGAGGAAGAGGAUGAUGAUGAUGAAGAUGAGGAGGAGGAAGAGGAGGAAGAGGUGGCUGAAGAUCAAAGCAGAGAAGCCAUGAUUGCCGAGCCAGAGCAUGAACCUGCUGGUCUUGAGCUUCCUGAUGAUGAGAGGGAGACUAUAUUGGACCUGUAUCCUGUGGAUGACUACAUGGAUGCCACAGGCUUGGGACUUGCUGAGCCAGCUUUGGCCGUGAAAGAUGAAGGCAGUGAAGAAAUCAAGGCAGGGGAAAGUGAGUGCGGCCAAGUCCCAGGGGCUCCUAUUGCUGCUGAAACUCUGAAACACUUGGUUAUGGAGAGAGAACAGGAAACAAAACUUGCACUCUCUCCCAUCUGCAGGCCAGAGGAAGAGCCCGAACCCCCUUCCAUGCUGGAGCCAGAGGUACAGGAAGGUCCAAAGCCUGAAUCUCAAGAUGAGGAGGCAGCUCUCUGUAUCUCUACCCCAGUGGGAGUCUUUGAAGAACCUCUGCCCAACAAAAGCAGCUUCUUUGGCAGGUCUGAGGAGAGCAGCUUAGAAGCCCGAGCUAAAGCAAAGGCGCCGUCGGCAGCGGAGGAGGACGAGCGGCUGCCGCGCACGCCUGGACGGGAGGCGAUGAUCCACACGGAGCCUGAGACCCUCCUGCUGCCAGCCCACAAGGUGCCAUCCUCCGUGCUUCCCUUGCCAUCCACUCCCGGCAAGGAAGAAUCUUUAGUCCCUCCAGAAAAGUUCCCUGAACAAUUAAUGGUGACCAAAACGUCCGUGGACGAUGAGAUUCCAAGGACUCCCGGGCGGGACAUUUUGGCCAAGUCUUCACACCCCCUCACAAAGUCGCAGAGCACGGACACUGUUCCAGCCACGCCAGGAAGUGACGCUCCCCUUACAGGCAGCAGCUUGACCCUCAGUUCCCCUCAAGUCCCAGGGAGCCCCUUUUCCUACCCUUCCCAGUCUCCUGGCAUUAACAGUGGCAUUCCUCGGACUCCUGGGAGAGAUUUCAAUUUCACGCCUACUUUCCCAGAGCCUGGUGCUACCAUUCCUUGCCUUCUGCCUGGCAAGAAACAGUCAGAGGAUGAGCUAGAGGAGAAAACCUUUAAAGAGCCUCUUGGUGCUUCCCUUACGAUCAGCAUGAACAGUGUUCCUUCCCCUAUCCCCUUCGCCAGCCCCCCGCAAGCAGAUUUCCACAUGGACAUGGGUUUGCCACCUGAUGAGCCAAUACCUGUAGCAGCCCUGCCUUGCAUGCAUGCAGAUGGAAGAAUGGCCAUCGAGGAAUGCAAGGCAGAAGUAAAACCAGGUUUGCUCUCCCCAGAAUUACCCCCUGGGGCUUCUAUUCUUCCUCCCCCACCUCCACCUUCUGUUCUUCCCAAAAGGAGGCCGGGUCGGCCGAGGCGGUCCCCACCUUCUGUGCUCCCCCUGGAUGUGUACUCGGGCAAAACCAUAGAGCCUCCUCCCAUGCCAGUGGCCUUGGUGGAAGGUGCUGUGGGCAAAGAGCUGCUGAGUGGACAUCCUGAUGCCUACUAUGGACUGAAAGACCCUGAAGCCGUCACCCUGGACUUCAGGAAUGACGGUUUCCACGAGAAAAUAGCACCUGAGACAGUUGCAGAGAAACUGCCGUUCAAGGAACUGGAGAACCAGUGGAAUGAGGACUUCAAGGAGGAAGAAGCUCAUGCAAAACCCAAGAGGCAGUGGCGAAGGCAGAAGAAGAGCUCUGAGGAGCUGCCCGUGAUCCCUUCCCCCGAGUACUCCCCGCCGCAGCCGCAGUUCCGGCCGCGCUCCGAGUUUGAGGAGAUGACGAUCCUGUACGACAUCUGGAACGGCGGCAUCGACGACGAGGACAUCAAAUUCAUGUGUAUCACGUACGACCGCUUGUUACAGCAGGACAACGGUAUGGACUGGCUCAAUGACACCCUGUGGGUUUUCCAUCCUUCUACCAGCUUUUCUACCCCCAAGAAGAAGAAGCGGGAUGACGGGAUGCGGGAGCACGUCACGGGCUGUGCGCGAAGCGAAGGCUAUUACAAAAUUGAUAAGAAGGACAAACUCAAAUACCUCAACAAUAGCCGAGCUUUUGCAGAGGAGCCUCCAGCUGACACACAGGGUAUGAGCAUCCCUGCCCAACCUCACGCUUCCACCCGGGCUGGUUCCGAGCGGCGAUCAGAGCAACGCAGGCUCCUCUCCUCCUUCACUGGUAGCUGUGACAGUGACCUGCUCAAGUUCAACCAGCUCAAGUUCCGGAAGAAAAAACUAAAAUUUUGCAAGAGCCACAUUCACGACUGGGGCCUUUUUGCUAUGGAGCCCAUUGCAGCUGAUGAGAUGGUGAUCGAGUACGUGGGUCAGAACAUCAGGCAGGUCAUCGCUGACAUGCGUGAGAAGCGAUACGAGGACGAGGGCAUCGGCAGCAGUUACAUGUUCAGGGUGGACCACGACACCAUCAUCGACGCCACCAAAUGCGGGAACUUCGCCAGGUUCAUCAACCACAGCUGCAAUCCAAAUUGUUAUGCUAAAGUGAUCACGGUGGAGUCUCAAAAGAAGAUCGUUAUCUACUCCAAGCAGCACAUCAACGUGAAUGAGGAAAUCACCUACGACUACAAAUUUCCAAUCGAGGAUGUCAAAAUCCCGUGUCUCUGUGGCUCUGAGAACUGCAGGGGAACCCUGAACUGAACUCGAGGUUUCUCGUCACACAUGCACCUUCGGCCAUGUCAAAACUGUGGUAACCAGGUGUGGUUGCACUUUGCCAAAAAAAGAGGAAGAAAAAAAAAAACACAACAGAAAAAAGGAAGAAAAAAAAAUUAAAAGCAAAAAAAUACCUACCAAAAAAAAAAAAAAAAAGAGUUAAAAGAGAAGAAAACCAAGCAAGUUUCGCACUUCUGCCAGGAUCAUGAGUGAAAGCAAAAAGCGCACACGCUGACGAGGACUGUUCAUGUUUCAGGUGCUUUUUCCUUUUCAGAUCCAACACGCACACAAAAAGGUGGCUACCUUUUGUGGCAUGGUCUAUCCAAACACUAGCUUCUCUGUUCAGUCCCUGCAGCAAUGCUCCGAAAUGGGAUAAUGGUACCUUUUUUUUUGUUUUUUAAUUGUUGUUAUCAACCUUCAUCUUUUCAUAAAUGCUGCUACCUUUUUCUCAUCAGUUUUCGUUGGUUGAAAAAGACAUUCAACGUUUAAAUGUGAAGCAGAGACUGAAAAUGCCAUAUAGGGUUUGUUGGGAGCUUGAUUGGCUGAAAUUGCACAGAUUUCUCAGAGUAAGCUGUAAAUAAAUGUAAGGUUGAUGUUACAGAGCAAGCCAGAGGCUUGAGGGCGUGUGAAUGAGUGUGUGUGUGUGCUUGGGGUGUGUGUGUGUGUGAUGUGUCCACAGUGAGACUAGAGCUGAACUCUCCUGCCUUUUCCUUAGGGAUGAGUCUGAACGAGGCCCCUCAGCCACACCCCGGGGCAGAGCCAGGUCAGCCCGACCUCAGCUCCCCUCCAAGGCCCUCCUCUCAUUUUCUAUGCCAUGCUGGUCCAUGGGGGAUCAAAACCUGCAGCUGCACGUGAGAAACCCUUGGAUACUUCAGUCACAAGGAGGAGGUGGAGUCAGCAGUGCAGCUGGAGCAUCCUGUGGCCUUUGGGGAUGCCCAGUCCUUAGAGAUGGGCUGGUCUUGCUUGCAGAAGAGGCUGAGUUUAAGUGGACAGCUCAGUUUGUGCUGUGGAAAUCGUGCCCUGCUUGCAAGCAAAGACUACGGCCCCUGUUUGUAGCAGGAUUUUCUUCCUGUGGAUGGGGAAUAGGCUGAUGUGUGACUUGUAUUCAUUUUUUCUCACUUUCAUCUGCAUUUCCCUGCCCUUCCAGUGUUUUACGUGGAGUAUUUGCUCUGUCCUUGGAUGUGGGAGAUGCCUCCUGUGAUAGGAGCAAGCUGUGCCCUGCCACUCUCCUCCCUCUGUUACUCAGUAACUUGGCCUGGGGUGGUCCCAUCCCUCCAGAAAAUCAUGACGUGCUGAGGUGAAGGUUGCAGUUCUUCAAGAGGUUCCAUUUAAAAAUGAACACCAAAAAAAUACUUUGGAUGAGAUCUGGAAAUGUUACGCCACUGUUCAGGUAUAGACAGGAUCAGUUUUUCAAUUUGCAUUGAAUUUCUCCUGCUUUAACAGUAGAGAUUAGUCAUACUAAACCCUUUUUAAUUGGCUUGUAAGGGGAAGUUGCAAUGGGAAGAUUAUCUGCAUAACUAAACACCUUCUCCCCACAGGACAAAUUGCACAGCUGUAUUCUUGUGUUCUUUCCAAGCCUCCACGAGCAGAGGUGACAACCUUGCAAAGGAGGUUCCUGGAAGCUUUUCCAGCUGUUCCAUGGAAUUGCCAGGCCUGCCCUGCAGUCAUGUAGGUCAGACCUCUGCCUCUGAAUUUCUUCUCCAGACAAGAGGCCUGAGAGAGCAGGAGCACACAGCCUGCUGCAGGCUGCCUUAAAUACCACCCGUGUUUGCCUGAGGGUGAGCAGACUGGCUCUGAGACUGGACAGUCCAUGGUCCAGCUCUACUUUUGCUUCAGUUUUGUUGGCUCCCCCCCUUCAUAAAUCUCUCCAGCAACUGGGUGUGGGUGACCCAGAACCUAAAAUUUUGAGAAGCACAAGUUUCUGUCACUGGCAGUGAUGGCAUUUGGGAGUUAAACCAGCUGCUCAAUUUAGUUGUUGUUUUUCUGAGUGAGGUUCAAUGUGUUGGCAUCUCCAUGGCUUGGCCUUUGACUUCCAAGGCUUUGGAAAUGCACAGAAGUUUCCUGUGUGUCAGAGCUGAGGCCUGGCCUUCUCCCUCUGUGCUCCAGCCAGGGCAUUAAGGGUGAAUUUGUGACCCCUCAGGACCUGCUGGCAGUUCUGUGUUCCCCAGCGUGUCUGUGUGCUCUGGAUGGGAUCAGCCCCUGCAGUUUGCCUUAAUCCUUGGUGAGGAAGGUGGAGAGGAAGGUCACUCUCACCCUUAGAUCCUUCACUGUGUUUUUAGGGGCACCAAAGGGGUUUGGGUGCCAAAGACCAGAGCACCUAAAUCACUUGGGUACUUCUGAAACCGCCUGUGAGUCAUCCCCUUUUAGGAUCCCAGGCAAGUAAUGCGAGCUUUUAGAAGAGCUGAUCUCUCAGUAGUUCCCCAGGAAGAAACAAAGCUGUGGAAGCCACAGCACUUCUGAAAAAUCCUGUUAGUCUGGUCUCAAAGCCCAGGCAGAGUCCUAGGGGAGAUGUUUUGUCUGCCUGACCUCCAAACAAAUUGUUUUGUGGUGAGGACUCCCAAGCCUGGUGCAGUGAUUUCCGUGGGUGCCCACAGGGCCCCGUUGGGCCAGGGGAGCCCUGCAGGCACAGAUGUGGUUUGGAGAUGCCUCAAAUGCUUUUCCUGGUGCUUGGCAAGGGAUGGGAUGAGAGCAGGCAGGAGCUGUGUGUGCUUCACAUGCAGCACAGGCAGCCCCUGGACACAGUGACAGGGAUAAGGGGAACCUCACCAGCACGUGCUGCUCACAGGGACUGCAGGGCUUUUGUCCCCUGAAAAACCCAGCCCCACAUUUAUUGUCACUUCCAUUUGAGCCCAAGACAAAAAAAGAGAGAGGCAUUUACAGUGCUCCCUGCAAAAUUCCAUCAGGCUGGGAGGAGGAGAACAGAGCAGAGUGGUGGAAAUGGAAUUUCAGCCUUUAGUUUGCAGCUGUGGGAGGUGGGCUGGAGGUGCCUCCGUGCUGGCACCCACAGGACCCGUGUGGGUCCCACCCUGCAGGGUCCAGGGGCUCCUCCUGCAGUUAUUUAUCUUGGAUAGAGCAGCUCAUUUCUACAAGGAAAGAAAAAACAUCAUUUUAAACUCCUACAAAUUACACAGUAGUUUCAGUUCUGGUUUUUGUGACCUUUUUCAGGGAUCAUUUCAGUGCAUUUCUGUACAAAAUAAAAAAAUUAAGGUAAAAAAGGAUUUUGAAGUAUAAAAAAUGCAUCUUCUGUACAUAGGCGAACUCAAGAAUCUUCUCUUCAAACACUGUUUCUUGUAGAAACAUGUUGAAAUUUUUUUGCUGAUUUCUUUGUACUUCAAGAGCAUGUAAAUAGUUUAUUAAAAGUGACUAUUGUAAUUUGGAGUUCUUUUUAAACAGAUUCCAGCUCUAAAUCAUGUCAAGAUGGGGAGGAAGAAGGACUGAGUAUAGCAAAGGAGCUGGUGGCAUUUACAGCUUGUGUCAAGCUUUGUAUAAUGUAAAUUCUGUAUAAAUACGGGGGUUUUUUGUCAAAUAAAUAGAUGAAAUUAGAAGCAUUAAGAAAUUGAAGACUAAAAAUUGCCAAGUCAAGGCUUCUUCUUUCCCCCCCUCCCUCAGUCUGAAACCUAAUGUGCAAAAUCUAUUUAUUUCAAGCGAGGAAAUGUGUACAGUCUAAUAGACACCCUAAAAUGUAUUUAAGAAAAUUUGCAACUGGAUUUUUUCAGUUUAAUAUUUGUUUUGUUUUUAUGAGUUUCCUCCUUAAUUGCCACUGUAGGAUUUGUCCAAGUGAAAAGAAAUACAUGAAGAAGGACACUCUAAAACAAUGGGGCAGUUUUGAAGCAAAGUGGAAGAACACCCAGCUCCCAAUUCUUGCAAUUUUCUGGUUUUAAUUCCUAGUCUGGAAAUCAAGGGCCUCCUUUAAAAGUAGGCAGGUCAAAUGUUUUGCAAUAAAUUAAAAAAAAAAUCUUUUUUUUUU